rnacentral:tRNA from 1 species
GGGCCCAUGAGGUAGCCUGGAUAUCCUAGGGGCCUCCGGAGCCUCGUACCGGGGUCCGAAUCCCCGUGGGCCCG